rnacentral:lncRNA from 1 species
GAAAAGGUACAUGGAAAUCGAAAGGGCAUGAUUCGAAAAUCGGUGCAGGAAACCAAACGCCACGUCAUAACCUGAACUACCUCGGGAGCAGAAGUAAUGAUCACGCAUGUGAUCGAUGAUGUCACCUCAAAAAGAAAUUCCCAAAAGGAGGUAACAUGCCAACUGCAUGACCUUUUCACACACGAACGUGUCUCUCACAGAGGUAUCAAUAGGAACGACCAAAUUUCCAUAGGCGUCAAGCGCUCAUGUCCGUCCAUUGGAAACGCCUUUCGAAUGCGUCCCCAAUAAACGAAGGGACUAUCUGUAUUGGGCAAAUUUGGUUCCACACAUCCACAUGGUAUCCACAUAUGGCCUCACUAAAGAAGGCGGCCUUAUCAUGGUCGACUUAAGUAAGGCCGGUCCCAGUCAAUAAACGAACCAAGUGAUGUGACUCAUUGUAAUAUCGCAUCAAGCUCUGACACUCGUAUAUCGAGGCCACCAACUCUUG